rnacentral:misc_RNA from 1 species
AACUACUUGUCUUUGCUACUCAGGUAAUAUGCUAAUCCUAUGAUUGGGGUUGAAAAUCAGUAUUUCAAGUAACAAUGUUCAGUUCAAAAAAAAAAAAAAUGUCUUCUUGUGUUUGCGUAGAUGGCUUUACUUAUUUGUUAUUUUGUUUAUGAACCUUCAAAGGUUAUUUAUUGACAUAUAAUGCAUUUCAUUCCCAUCAAAAGAAUUAAAAUAUAUCCUGUGGUUGAUUUGAUGAUAUAGGUUGUCAAUAUAAACCAUAACAACCAUGCUUCUCCUAGAUAAUUAACACGUGAUGAUAUUCUACCAAUGCAUGGGAAAUUGAAUUUCAUAAAUGGCAACAUGUUUGUUCUAUUACAUGCUUUCUUGGACAAGACCUCAGUACAUUGUUAUUGCUAUUGCUAAUGGAGAAUGCUAUCUAUGUUAUUCCAAUGUUCCACUAUUUGUGAACAUUGACUUUAAUAUUUCAGUGUGCAAUGAAUCUGAUGUCUUCAUUGUCCUCAUUGUUGCUCAAACAGAGAAGCUUAUGCUGUGGGUUUUCAUUUUGGCAUUAUUCUUUUUUUUACUUUUUUUAAAAUUUUAAAUGAUUGAACUUCAACUUGUCAUGUUAUAUCAUGUGUUAUAGUGUUAAUUAGUUUUCAUAAACUGACUUCAUUCUCUUGGGUCUUAUGAUCUCCAUGGAAUGGCACCCUUGUGGCUUGAUGUGCUCCAAUAUGUUCUGGUUUCAUUUAUAUUUAUGUUUGGCACAUGUUUCCUUCAUUACACAUUUCUAAGGAUUUAAUCCAAAAUCGU